rnacentral:ribozyme from 13 species
AGAAAGAAAGAAAGAAAGAAAGAAAGAAAGAAAGGGUCAUAAAAGAAGGGGAAGGAUUAGAUAUGUAAAAAUUUGUCAUC